rnacentral:rRNA from 1 species
GACGAACGCUGGCGGCGUGCUUAACACAUGCAAGUCGAACGGAAAGGCCCUGCUUUUGUGGGGUGCUCGAGUGGCGAACGGGUGAGUAACACGUGAGUAACCUGCCCUUGACUGUGGGAUAACUUCAGGAAACUGGGGCUAAUACCGGAUAGGAGCUCCUGCUGCAUGGGGGGGGUUGGAAAGUUUCGGCGGUUGGGGAUGGACUCGCGGCUUAUCAGCUUGUUGGUGGGGUAGUGGCUUACCAAGGCUUUGACGGGUAGCCGGCCUGAGAGGGUGGCCGGCCACAUUGGGACUGAGAUACGGCCCAGACUCCUACGGGAGGCAGCAGUGGGGAAUAUUGCACAAUGGGCGGAAGCCUGAUGCAGCAACGCCGCGUGCGGGAUGACGGCCUUCGGGUUGUAAACCGCUUUCGCCUGUGACGAAGCGUGAGUGACGGUAAUGGGUAAAGAAGCACCGGCUAACUACGUG